UACAGAGGGGGCAAGCGUUGUUCGGAAUUACUGGGCGUAAAGGGCGCGUAGGUGGCCUUCUAAGUUGAACGUGAAAUCCCUGGGCUCAACCCAGGAACUGCGUCCAAGACUGGGAGGCUUGAAUCCGGGAGAGGGAUGCGGAAUUCCAGGUGUAGCGGUGAAAUGCGUAGAUAUCUGGAGGAACACCGGUGGCGAAGGCGGCAUCCUGGACCGGGAUUGACACUGAGGCGCGAAAGCCAGGGAGCAAACGGG
rnacentral:rRNA from 1 species